rnacentral:lncRNA from 1 species
UGGGAGUUCUAAGACUUUAAACUAUCUUUUCCCUAGGGAGAUAAGAAGUUGUAUAUUGACCCUCUGCUCUGGGACAGGGAGUAUGCUGUCAACAAAUCAGAGAAGUCUUUUCUACUUUAGAGUACGUUACACCUACUACAUCUGAUCGGAAGAAAGCUCACAAGGAUUCUCCGAACAACCAGUGUAAAAAAUUCUGCCUUAUCAGGAUGACUAGAUCUAACUUGUCCUGAAGGCACAGCACUCCUCUUGCUUGGAUGUAAAUCUAGGACAAACUCAAACACUUCUACA